GAUGAACGCUGGCGGCGUGCUUAACACAUGCAAGUCGGACGGGAAACCUUUUAAUGAAGCUUCGGCAGAUUUAGCUGGUUUCUAGUGGCGGACGGGUGAGUAACGCGUGGUUAACCUGCCUUAUACAGGGGGAUAACAGUCAGAAAUGACUGCUAAUACCGCAUAAGCGCACAGGACCGCAUGGUCCGGUGUGAAAAACUCCGGUGGUAUAAGAUGGACCCGCUUUGGAUUAGCUUGUUGGUGGGGUAACGGCUCACCAAGGCGACGAUCCAUAGCCGGCCUGAGAGGGUGACCGGACACAUUGGGACUGAGACACGGCCCAGACUCCUACGGGAGGCAGCAGUGGGGAAUAUUGCACAAUGGGGGAAAUCCUGAUGCAGCGACGCCGCGUGAAGGAAGAAGUAUCUCGGUAUGUAAACUUCUAUCAGCAGGGAAGAUAGUGACGGUACCUGACUAAGAAGCCCCGGCUAACUACGUG
rnacentral:rRNA from 1 species